GAACGAGAAAGUGGAGCAAUCCAUGAGUACAGUGGCGUACGGGUGAGUAACACGUGACUAACCUACCCUCGAGUGGGGAAUAACCUCGGGAAACCGGGGCUAAUACCGCAUAACAUCUACGGAUCAAAUGCGUAAGCAGCUUGAGGAGGGGGUCGCGGCUGAUUAGCUAGUUGGCGGGGUAAUGGCCCACCAAGGCAGUGAUCAGUAGCCGGCCUGAGAGGGCGCACGGCCACACUGGAACUGAAACACGGUCCAGACUCCUACGGGAGGCAGCAGUGGGGAAUUUUGCGCAAUGGGGGAAACCCUGACGCAGCAACGCCGCGUGGAGGAUGAAGCCCCUUGGGGUGUAAACUCCUUUCGAUCGGGACGAUUAUGACGGUACCGGAUGAAGAAGCACCGGCUAACUCUGUG
rnacentral:rRNA from 1 species